UAAAUGGCAGUGUCAAUUGUGUUGGGAACCUACCUUAAGGAUCAGAUGAUAGGCAUCCUUUUCCUCAUUUUUGGGGGGGUGGGUUGUUUGUUUGUUUUUGUCCCUUCCUCUAUCUUGCUGCCUAGAACACAGAUGCGAAGGCUGGAGUUCAACCCAUUAUACUGGAUCACAAGGACGAAAGUCCCUAGGGACUGCAGAAAGGAGGACUACAAAGAACUUGGUCCCCUAGGACCUCAUGAGGCAGAAUUGCUGCUCUGCCUUCCAGCAGUCAUUUGUGAGAGAGAGAAAUCAACUCACAGUUACAUAUCGGAAAGAAAGCUGCAGAGCCACCUAACUGCCAGACUCAAUUACUGGGUUACCGACACCAGUUUAUGACUGCCUUUGAGGAAGACAAUGCAAGAGGAAGAAAUCAAGAUCC
ensembl:lncRNA